rnacentral:lncRNA from 1 species
UAAUUCAAUCGUUACACAACAUAUUUUCCUCUUUUACCAGCCCACUAAUAUCCAUGGGGAUCCAUAGGGGUCCCGCUACCCGUUAACCCUUAACACUUGAAAUCAUAUUCCAGGGCCGUCCCCAUACCCCGUCCGGUAUGGGCGCCAAAACUACAAACCUCAUUACCCCGUCCGGUAUGAGGGUGAAACGGGCUGUCCCCAUACCCCGUCCGGUAUGGGCGCCAAAACACAUAAGAUCUCCAUACCCCGUCCGGUAUGGGAGACCACAAUCC